ACUUAAAUAGUUUAAUUAAAAUAUCAGCUUGUGGGUCUGGUGAUGUAUAUUUUAUACUUUAAGUC
rnacentral:tRNA from 1 species